CAGAACCCGCUAAAUAGCCCGCCGCACGGAACGUGUUACGAGCUUGCUGCGGGCCGGAUAAAAUCUCGUGGUGGGCGUGAUGUGGCCCGCGGGCCGUAGUUUGGAGACCCCUGCUUUAUACUGAAGAAGGGU